rnacentral:rRNA from 1 species
UACGUAGGCGGUUUCAUAAGUCAGAUGUAAAAGCGUGGGGCUCAACCCCAUAAAGCAUUUGAAACUGUGGAACUUGAGUAGUGGAGAGGAAAGUGGAAUUCCUAGUGUAGCGGUGAAAUGCGUAGAUAUUAGGAGGAAUACCAGUGGCGAAGGCGACUUUCUUGGACACAAACUGACGCUGAGGUACGAAAGCAUGGGGAGGCAAAACA